GCUGGGAGUGGUGGCGCAUACCUGUAAUCCCAGUGGCUCAGGAGGCUGAGGCAGGAGAAUUGUGAGUUCAAAGCCAGCCUGAGCAAAAGCAAGGCACUAAACAAUUCAUGAGACCCUGUGUCUA
rnacentral:sRNA from 1 species